CGCAUCUUCCUCUUCUUCUUCUGCUUUGGAUUUGUCUUGCCUUUAGAUGAUGUGCGUGUUCUGGAUGUCCUUGUGCAGGUGCAGAGGCGGCCAUGGCGUCGGUGACCUAGGCCUGGGAAGGUCCGUCGUUACAGGAAGUGGGCUUCUUGGAUUGGGUCAGUAGGAUCUCAGGCAAUCUUCGUGGGUUUGAGCAGCAAGUUCUCAGGGUAAGCCUGUCCCUUUACUGGUGUUUUUCGUAUGUUUGCAGAUGCUUCUUUCCUUUAUUUGGUACAUUGCAUUUGUCCUCUUUCCGGUGUGAUUAGCAUCUGAAGGGUUGCUGCUGUGGUUGGAGAGUAGCAUGGUUAUUGCCUUUUAAUCUACCUGCAGGGGCCAUGUGUGCUUGUGACUUUAUUAUGCCAUCUUAUUUGCUGUUUAUAGUAUGGGUAUCUUGUUUGUUGUGUGAUGUGGCGUUGCUGUGCCUUCUUUAUGGCAUCUCCAAUGGUAUAAGUUAGCUGCUAGCUCAAAGUUGAUGUAAGUCUCAUGUAUAAGUCAACUGCUAAAGUAGAAGACAGCUUUGAAGAUUUUGCUGUGAGAGAAAGCUACAUAAAAAAGCGAGCGAGACUAGCUCUUUACUCCACGCUAGUCUCAUACGUUUUGCACUAUUUAAGUAGUAAGGAAUUGGUUCAGCUAGCUCUAAGCUAGACCAUUGGAGACGCUCUUAGCAUAUGAAGAGUUGCUGCUGUGGUUGGAGAUUAGCAUGGUUAUUGCCUUUUAAUCUAGUUGCAGGGGUCAGGGGGUCAUGUGCACUUGUUACUUUAUUAUGCCAUCUUACUUGUUGUUUAUAAUAUGGGUAUUGUUGGGAAAACCACCUUCGGAACCCCUUCGGAGGAAGAAGUCUGACAAGUGUCAUGCGCUAACGGCUUGUUUUGUGCGUGAUUGAGUAUUUGAGUACAAGUGGAAGCUCGGGGCUCUCCGGUGUACGAAGGGGGCUUCGGCGUACGAGGGUUCCGAAGGGGGCCCUCAAGGUUCCGGUGGAGGGCGUAGUACGCCCCGUUGGGAUUUUGGCCAUACCGAAGAAAAGAGCUGCCCUGGCACCUAACGAUGAGCGCUUCAGGCGCCAAAGGCCCAAGAAAUGGAGGAGGCCACGCUGUCCACCACGCGGAAAGGCAGACCCGUACGAGGGGCUAGCUGGAGGCGUCCGUACGAAGGCCGUAUUUCCUAUUGUACCCUAGAAUAUUCUUGGAAUCUAGCCGUUGGGUAACAGUAAAUUGUAAUUGAACUUUGUGGCGGUUGAUCUCCCAAUAAAUAGCGGCGCCACUGUAAUUGAUGGGACAGCCGGUCCGAAGUUAAUGAAAGCAAUUCGCAUUUAUUGUUCCGCA